CCUCUCCUCCUCCUUGACUGACACCUGGCCAGGAGGAGCACUGGGAAGGCAGCACAGCUGGAGUCUAGCUGAGUAAGACUCGCGUAUCCCAAACUGACCUCAGACUCAUUAUAUGUCCAAGGAAGACUGAAAUUCUGAUCCUCCUGCUUCCACUCCCACCCCUCUGUACAUGCCAGAGACCAAGCAUGCCUGGACAUGGAACUCCAUACCUGGGUAUCAAAGGGACUGCUCAUGUCUUCACAUUCCAGUGCCCACUGGUAACAAAGACGCACGCUAGCCUCUGGGCCUGGAGGAAUAGUCACCCGAAUAGCCUGUGCCUCCAGCAGCAAAUCAAAGGAGAAUUCAGGUCCUAGGAAGAAGGAAGACUCAGAGACCCUGGCUCAGGCAAGGCUGAGACCACCCACUGUUGCUCCUCACACCUACCCCCAUGAUUCUGUGAACCUGCUCCAGGAAAAUGUUCUACUCCUCCUGCAUCUGAAGGCUGGGUCCUUUUGCAGCGUGGCCCUCUGUGGGAGAGGGCUGGGAAGGGGCUUGAAAUGCUAUGGCCUUCCCAAGACAGGGAAAGGCUUCCUAGCAGCUUCCUCUGCAAGCAGAAAACAAAGUGGGGUUAAGCCAGGAUCCAGGAAGUCUGCUUUCCAACUCUGCCUUUGAACCUGGAGAGACAAAUGAUUCAGCAUGCAAGUUGUUCAAGUUCCUUUGGCCUCAGUUUCCCUUACUGUGCAAUCUCCACAUUUUCAAACUCCCCCUUGUAUCUGGAGAACAAAAAAAGGGGCAAGAAAGAAAGGGGUUGUGGGUCAUAGGGUAGUAAAUGAUAGGGUACCUGGGAAGAUGCUGGUGUUCCAUGCCUCCAAUAGAAUUCAAACUUA